rnacentral:lncRNA from 1 species
AAUAAAUUGGAUAUUUUCUUCAGGGACACAUUCGAUACACUUUUGGAUUACAUGGUUCCCGUUCUGAUCACGUACACAUCGCAUGACAUGACCAUCAAGCUCUUCUACCAUUUUGAUCUUCUGGUCCAGGUCAACAACCUCAAUUGCCUGAACAAAUUCAACAGCCAAAGUUACAAUCAAAUCCUGCAGGACUGCAUAUAUUCAUCUAAAGUACUCAUUUUAAGUCACACCCUGAUAAUCAAGCACAAAUGAGUACAUAGAAUUGCUAUCACCUCAAAAUAGGAAACAUUAUUAGAACCAGGCUGUGUUCCAGGGACACUUUUUGUGCAUUAAGUGUCCACUGUCCACCACCCAGGUAAUACAGUUGCACUUGUUUUGCACUAGUUUUUCUCAAUACCAUUUAUGGCUCCACCAAUCUAAGACCAGGCAAAACAACUGGUAUUAAAAUAAAAGUAGUACCUUCUGGAUCACUCGACAACCAUACAUUUGUAAGCUAAGUGUCAAAACAUGACCAAAAAGCUUGCCAGCCAGUUCUCUUCUCUGUGAAGGAAGCCCGUGCUCAAAGAACUGUAACCACACAUGGUUACAUUUGCAAGUCCAGUAAGAUGAAUAAAACCAUAACUGAUGACAUGAACAAAGUAGAGAUAACAUACCUUCUGAAUUACAUAAUUACCAAACACAUCAGUCAUUAAUGCAAGAGCAUGGGGCAUGAUUUCCUUGUAAACCAUGUUUUUCUCAUCAGUUGUGGCUGUCUCAAGUUUUUGUUGAAUGAACCUACUUCCAUACUGGUCCGCACUGCUCAUAAAAGAUGUCAAGGCCACAGGAAAAAAUUUUUGGAUUACUAAAUAUGAUCAAGCACAAAUCAUUCUUUGAGCAGGAAUUACCUGAACUCAACAACGUGGCCAGCAAUUUCUGAAAGUUCAAGACACUUGGUUUUGUUGCUCUUAAACUCUUCCAGAAGAGUGGAUGCAAAGCUAUCAUCCAUUUUUACUCCUGUGUCCAAGUGCCAUGGUCCAAUGAUGCCCCCAGCUAAGUUCCUCAUCGCGGAAGGAAAAUGCACAUUCAGCUCACUGUGUCUUAUAGGACUGCCAGGUCCAACUGGAGAAUUUGGAAUAACAGGACUUGCCAAAGGACUUCCAGGAUAUGACAUACCAACACCAAAAGCAGGAUUCCCAUAAUAGCCAUGAUGACUAGAAGUGCCAGAUUUACCGCCAAUUGGCACUGCAGACUGUGAUUGCUGAGAUGAUAAAAGAGCUCCAACAUAAGCUUUCUGAAGUUCAAGGAUAUUCAUGUAAGAAUUACCUAAAUAGUUCCUAUCAAUUGAGGGAUCAUUAAGAGCUGCAAGAUGGGCAGCAUACUCAGGAGUCCUCAAGUACUGGAGAUAUAAUGGAUCAACAAAAGGUGCCUGAAGGGUGCCCCCAGCCAUUGGACUACCGACUCUUCCAAGAUUAUGAGACUCAGAGGCAGCAGCUGUUAUAUUUGCACCAGACCCCAGUCCUCCUCCAAGCACUCUUGAGUCCAUUCCAGAGACGGCCACAGCUGAGGCUGCAGCAACAUUUUCCAAUAACAUUGGUAGAUUACCAGUGCCAAAUUGGCUGGCCAUCAUAGAAGCCAAUGCUGGAUUGACUGAAUAUCCACUUAACCCAUAGUUUGGCAGAGAAGAAUUUGCAUUAUCUAGAUGCUGGUACUGCAUUGAUAAGCCACCUCCACUAUUAAGAGUGGAGGUUGGUGAUCCUUUCAUGUAAGAACUGCCAGAAUGAACACCAGAUUUCUGCAGUUCAACAUGCCUAUCAGCUACCAAGUUUGAGAUAUUCACAUCUGAUCCACUGCCAUUGCUCUUAGCCAAAUCAGAGUAGGAAAUCUUUGCUGAUUGAGAGAGGGAAGGCAUGUGUAAAUGUCUAGAUUCAACUUUCUGUAUGUAAGCAUUUUGCUUCUCAUGAUUCUGACCUCCUUGGAUACCAAAGAUAUCAACAUCCUCACAGUUUUCUUCAUUCUUCACACCAUUUGUUGACAAGUUCAUGCCAGACAAAGCAGCUGCCAAAUCUGUAGACUCGCCUAUGUGGGAUAUAACACCAUUAAAUGAGUUUGAACCAGUAACACCUCUCUUUUCAGAUGCAGAAGCCCUCCCCUGUCCAAUGGGUGUAGGGCAAGGGCUUGGGACCCUAGCAACAAGUUGAGGAUCAGGAGUAGUACUUCUAGACAAGGAAGAACCUACAGCAGCAGCAUAAGAAUAAGGAGGAGGCCCAAUAUUUUGGGCAGCAGAUGAGCCCCGACCAUUUGAACCUGAUCGUAAAGUAUCUGUAGAUGACAGCUUGUGGCGCAAAUGAGCCAGCUCAGCUUCAGCUGAAGCUGGAGUCUCAAUUUUUCCAUUAACUGCAUUACUGCUGGCUGGGCGCGAACGGUGCCCUGUCCCAGAAGUUGCAUGCCCCAAAUCAUCCUGCAUGGACACAUAACUCUAAAUAACAAUAAUAACAUUUCAAAUAAAAACAACUGUACCAGUAUCAAACCAAACUUGUAAACUGGUAAUUAGGCAUAGAAGAGAAUCCGGUUGAAAGAUUCAUAUCAGAACAAGAGUUACUGGGGCAAUGUUCUGUAGGAUUGAAGAAAUUCCCCAAAGCCCACAAAUAGCAUGUCGAGCACAUAGUUAAUUCUCGGUAUCCAGUGUAAAAAAUUAAAAAUUAAAGAAAAAAGAUCUUGAACAACCAAAAAGCCUUCAGAAUCCACAAAAACUAUAUAAGGGUCACAGUUAAGAAAUUUUUUCAUUAGUACUGCGUUUCAUAUUUUUCCUCAUAAGGCUUUGUGAAGUGUAAAAGGACAUCAGAAAGAAAGUGGCUGCUGACAACCUAAAAUUUGAUUCUAUCAUGCAGACAACAUAAAGGGGGAAGGGUUGCAUUGACCAUAUGGAAUGCACUUCAAAGUAGCAUCAUAACUCAAAGCUCAACUUUAAGGCAUAUUUUCCAACAUGGCUUUCUAGACAACUGUCUCAGCUUCUUCAUCUAUUAAGGAAGGCUACAUACUACAUCCACAGUCAAGCGCACACCUGCUAAGUAAUUUAUACAGCCAAAUUCAUGUGCAUUGGAGAAUAUACAAGAUUUCCUCAAUGUAAUCAGAUUCUUGUGCAGAACAACUACAUAACCAUAUUUAACAUAAGCCAUAAACUGCCUAGGUGGAAGUCAAUCAGAAUAAAAUGCAUGAUGAAAAUUACUUAAGGACUCAAAACUUAUCUUUAAUAAUAAAGGAACAAUACUAACUGUUAGGCGAGGGGGAUUGGGGGUUGGGGGGGGGGACAAGAUACAUUUGUACUCCCUCCAUAAAAUUGUCAUAUAGGCAAAAUUUCAAUUAGAAAAUGUGAUUGCCUCAAAAGUAGAUUGACCUAUUCAAAGCAAACGUCAAUAUGAAGCAAUAAAUGCCGCAACAGAUAGUCCAAGGAAAAGCAAUGGAUCCCAUUGAUCACAAUGCUGCCAUAAGAAAAUAAAGCAGACAACCCACAGAAGUUACAAGAAAUUCACGAUAAAAAAGCAGCAAAAUUUAGCAUAUUUAUGCACAAUCGUAGAAAUAAAUCACCUGAAAGAUUUCUGCAAUACUCUUCUGUUUACUCCCAAUACCUAAACCUGGUAACCCAAUCAGCCCAUUACCACCCCACUCCGCAGAGCUAUGAACCUUGUCAGGCUCAAUCCCACUUUCAUGUUUCCUUGAAUCAAAUCCUGGAGGCAUAGAGAACAGAGAUCUUCCUUUCCCAUUAUCAGCCCUAUUGACGUUCCGCCUAUCUCCAAUCCCACCUAAAACGGAACUUCCUCCCCCCUUCAAUAUUUGUGCGAACCUCCAAUCCUCCCUGGAAAUCAAAGGAGGUGGAAGCCUAGGAUUCAAAUUCACAUUUGAAUAAUAGUAUGAAAGAUAAGCAGGAUCAGACCUAAGCUCUUCCUCUGAUUCAAGCCCAUUCCCCUUUUUGCCACUAACAAACUCAGCAAACGCAGCACUAGCACCACCGCUUCCAUUACCUAGCAAGCCCCCAACUGCACUCAAUGAACCCUCCACAGUUGGAGGCGCAGAACCACUUCUGUACAAAUUGAGCUCUUUCUCGAGAUCACCAGCCUCUUGCCUUCGUUGUUCGCGCAGCAACAACCCUAUUUCCUUCUCUAAAUCAUCACCAAAUGAUCCGUCAUUAGUUCCUACCAUCGGUCGCCUACCCAAUUCAGAUAACAUAUUCAGAACCCCAAUUUGAUCAUCACCCACCACAACAACUCAGAAACUAAUAAUUAAACAAUAUCUACAAUUACAGCCGAAACGCUUAAACUCCCGAAAAUAAAAACUUCCUACGUUUGAAACAGCUAACCCCGUAUAUACAGGUCCAAUAAGAUAACUUCAAACUACAAAAGAUCAAAACUUUCGAUCGCUUAAACUGCUACGAAAUCAAUAUUCUAAUUCUAAACUACAGACUCGCUCAUUAGUCCCACACAUAACUGUAAUGGAAAUAUGGGUUAGUCCCCAAGAAUCGAUGUCGUGACAUAAACUAGACAACCUUGGAGAGCCAUGUCCAGGUAAGAGGAACAAUAAAACAAACUCCAACGAGAAUCUAGGAACAGAAGUUGAAAUGAGGAAACAAGAAAAACUCAGUAAGGUUUAAGGCAUAUCAGAGUAGAGCAUAAGGAGCUGGUAAUGAAGAGAGUUAUAUUUAACGGCUGAGAUCAAUCUGGCGGCGAUUGGUUCUUGCAAGAACCCUUAGGGUUUUGUUCCCAUAGCAAACAAGGAUUAAAUAUGGUUAGCUGGGAACAGUAAAAACUCCAAUAUUGGGUUUUCCGUUUCUAAAGAAAAAAAAAAAAAUCUCUUAAAUUAAAAAAUCCAUAUUAUUAUUUAUUAUUAAAUAUGUCCUAAAAAUUAGGGUGAUUGACCAAGUGAUAACCGACUGAUACAUGGUAACAAGUCGAAGUCGAAAUCCAUAUGCAAUAGUCCUUUUUUCAUUGGACAAUUUUUAAGAUAAACUACUAUUAAGUCUUUAAUUAGUUGAUUUUAUUUUAAAAUUGUUUAAUUAAAAUAUUUUUAUAUCAGUUUAUUAGAAAAGAGUGUGAUAUUUGACAAUAUAACUCGUUCAAUUUAUAAUUAAAAAUAUUAAAAUAUAAAAUUAUUGUCAUAAUAUUAAUUGAUUAGAUAAGGAAUCCAAAUUUAUAAUAUUAAAAUUAUAUCUGAUUAUCAUAACUUUAAAAAUAAACUUAAUUUUAAGAGUUAACAAUUUUUUAAUAUUAUCUGACAUAUAUAUAACUAUCAAAAUGUUUGGCAAUUUUAAGGUACAUUUUAUAUUUAGUAUAAAUUUUAUUUCAUAUAUUUUAUAUUUAUUUUAUUCUUACAGUUUAUAUAAUUAAUUUAAAUUGAAACAAUUAUGUUUAAUAGUAAAGUUGAUAUAUUUAAAGUUUUAUUUAAAAGAUGAAAGACUUACUAUAUAACUAAUAGUAUAGUAAAAUAAAUUAGUGUUAUUUAUUUUUAUGUUCAUAAAUAAUUUUGGAUUUAACGUGACUUUACGUUAUUUUUGUAUUAUUUACAUUAUAAUAUUCUUCAUAAUGAGAAUAUUAUAAAAAAAUAUGUCAUAUAAAUUCUAUUAAUGUAUAUAUAAAAAUAAAAUAAAUUUAAUUAAGUCUGCGUAUUUUUUUUCAAUAAAGUCAAUUUAUUUUUUUUAUUAAUUAAACUUUUGUACUCUUGUUCAAUAACUAAAUAAAUAUUGAUUUUGUAAAAGUUUUAUUUAAUUUUUUUGUUCACAAAAUGACUCAUGCUAAAAAAAAAAGUAUAAAUGUUUAGUAGAUAAAUUAAGUUUACAUUUUUUGGGUGCACGCCAUGAAGUGGUUUGCAGAAAUGUGAAUUCCUCUAUGGAGAAACAAAUGAUAGGACCACUUUGAGGUCUAAUUGUGAUUCCAUGAUGAGGUACAUAGAUAUCCAGCAACUCUUUGCAGUGUAGAACCAAAAUCAGAUCAGGCAAUUUGAUCCUGCUAACCGAGGAAUGGGUGGUUGAAAAAUAGUGAGCCAGAAGAAAACAUGGCUAAAUAUUAGCAAUAUCUCCUGAUAUCCGCGUCUUUGGAGAUAUGUUUUUAUCUAAACGGUGGUAUACUUUGUUGAGAAAAUUACUUUUUAGUUUUUGAAAUUUAACAUAAUUAAUAUUUCUAUCCAUCUAUUUUGACGACCCAACACUUAAGUCUCUAAUUUUCUUUUCCGUCCGAAUUCAUAAUUCUUCCAUUCAAAAUGGCCGUUUGAAAUACGUGAAUUGACAAAAUUAACCCUUAUAAUAAGUUUUUCUGUUUCAAAAUCACGAAACCUUAUUAUCUUUCUUCUCCCUCUUUCUUCUUUCUCUCUCUUGCGCUCUCUCUAUCUUUUUUUAAACUUCUCUCUCUCAGCUUUGUCCUUUUCUCUCGCGCUCUGUCUAUCUCUCUCUCUCUCAACUAAACACAUCUAUCUCAAUCGAACAUUGUCCCUCUCUCUCAUGUUCUCUCUGUUUCAAUCGAAACUUAUCCCUCUCUCUCGCGCUCUCUCUAUCUGUAAUACCCGACUAGACUCCGGUAUCGGAAUUCUUACCGUCCGGUGGAAUCUCGGAUGUCGAAAACCUCUAGAAGGGUAAAAUCAUGUUUUCAUAAAAUGUUUUAAUGUAUUUGAUGAUUUUAAGCAAGAAAGAAAUUGAGUUUUGGAGGCACCUUAGGCUGCCGAAGGGUGGUCUGGCCAGCCCUAUAUAAGGGCUCCAUGGCCGAAACGGGCGAGUUUUCUCCCCAUUUUCGGCCAACGGUGAGUCCAUGCUCUCCCAUGGUCGUUUUUGAUGUUUUUCCUCCAAUCUUUUAUGUUUUAACAAGUUUUAUCUUGAUUUGAAGAUAUUUGAGCAAAAGAGCAAGUUUUGAAACUUGGAGACCCAAGGAGCGAAAUCUCCCCCAUCUCCGAGUUGGAUCGUCUUCCCUCUCGAUCUUCAAGAGGUAAGAGUAGAUCCACACUUCUUUUCAUGUUUUAGUUGAGUUUCAUGAAGUUUCUUGGGGUAGAAAUGCAUGUAUAAGUUUAUGUUGAGUUUUUGGUUUAUGUUGUGUUUAUGAGCAAUGUGAGUUGUUUAUUUAUGUUUGAUGUGUUUUGGUUGGAGUUUAGGAUAGUUUGGGACCCCUAUAUGCUUGUUGGCUUGAGUUUGCUUGUUGUAGAAUAGGUAAAUGCAUGAUUGAAUGUUUUGGGAGGCAAAUGUGCAUGUUGGAGGCUGAGUUCUGCCCUUUGGAAGAACUCAGGUUCGGCAGCCGAAGGGACUUUCGGCCGCCGAACCUGCCUGUGGAGGCAAGCCUUUGGCUGCCGAAACCUGCCCCCGAAAGUGGACUUUCGGCUCUGGAUGGGACUUUCGGCCGCCGAAGGUGUCGCCGAACAUGCAUGAGUUUCGUCUCUGGAGGGAACCUUCGGCCGCCGAAGGUGCAGGACUUUCGGCUCUGGAGGGCCUUUCGGCCGCCGAACCUGCCGCCGAAAGUGCCCUGUCCAGCCUUCCUUUGCAUGUUUUCUAUUAUUGUUUUAAGGUGUUUUAGGGGGUUUUUGGGGAGUAUUUUAGAGUCAUGUUCAUGUUUGUUUGGUCCCUCAUUUGAGUCUACCUAUGUAGGUUCGGACCCGAGAAACCGAUGACCCCAGCAGUGAGUCAGCUACUUCAGUGUCUUGUCAGAGCUAGCCUAAGGUGAGUAGAAUGACUCUUUAUGUUUCAAAGUAAAUAAUGAAAGUUUUAGCAUGAUUCACGCAUCAUGAAUGCUAUGAGAUAUAUUAGGGUGCUUGCAUUAGAAUUCAUGAAUAUGUUGCAUUGCAUAUUAUGUUGUUGAUGUGGAUGAAUGUUGGAUGAUCCAUUAGCCCGUACUAUGAUAUGAUAUGAUAUGAGAUAGUGAUGAUACGGUAUGAAAGACUAGUGAGGCCCAUUCUACGCCCCUAGCACUAUGUAAGAGAAAGACCAGUGAAACCCAUUCUACGCCCCUGGCAUAUUGAAAUGUUAUGUUAUGUUAUGUUAUGUUAAUGUAAGAGAAAGACCAGUGAGGCCCAUUCUACGCCCCUGGCACUAUUGGAAUGUGUAGUGGGCUAUUGGUGACAAAUUCAUCCUUGAUGUGAUUUGUUUGUGAUGCGAUGCAUUCCACGAUAUCAUAUGUUUUAAAAUAUAAUGUUUUAUUAUUCUGCUCACUGGGCUCUAGUAGCUCACCCCAUUUCCCUAAUCCCCCAGGUUUGCAGGUACGGGAUAGACCAGGAGGUCAGCCAGAGUAAAGUCAUGGUCAUGUAAUAGCUAGUGGUGGACAUGAUAAAUAUUGAAAUGUAAUGUUUAGAACAGUAAUGUAAUGAAUAGUAUUAAACAGUUAUGUAAUGUAAUAGUGUUAUUGAGGAUAGAAUUAUGCUUGACCCUAGUAUGUUGUUAAUCCUUUUUGAGUACAUGAUUUUAAUGAUGUUUAUGUAAACCAAACUUAAUAAAUGUUAUGUUACCCAUUGGAGCAUUGUUGAGGACUCCAGUGUGGGGUUGAUGAUUAUGUAUAUGAAUAGUGCAUGCACAGGUUGAGUUUGGUAAAUGAAUGAGAAAAUUUAAAUUUUUUAUGUAAUUGUUGAUCAUGUAUAGGAUUAAACAGGUUUACAGGAGGUAUGUCAGGCUUGCUACGGGUCUCGGCGGCUUUAUGCCGAUCUGGAUCCUAGCGCCGGUAGCGGUCCGGUUUCUGGGUCGUUACACUAUCUAUGUCGAAGCCUUAUCCCUCUCUCUCGUGCUCUCUCUGUCUCUCUCACUAUCAAAACUUCUCUCUCUGUGGUCCAAUUGUCUCUCAUUUCUUUAAUUUUCUCGAAAAGCCCUGAACCCACCAUAUUCCGAAGGUGUAGCUUGAUCCACUUCGAAGGUACGAAAAUCCCUUUUAUUUUACGGUGUAGAAAAAUUUGUUACUUUACUUUUUAGAUUUUUUGAAUUACAAUAAUUAAUUUUUUAUUUAUUGAUUUUUCUAGGCUUUACCCCUAAGAUUUUGGGGUUUAAUGAUUUGGGAAUUAAUUUUGUAAUUUCCUUUUUACUUUUGUAGAUAGCAAUGCAUAAAUUUGAGAGGUACAAUUUGUUAAUCAAAUAUGAAGGGCGUGAGGAGAGAAUGAACAAUUUGUGGACAGGUGUACAAGUUGUGAGUUUUUUAUUGGAUAUAUUAGAUGUGCAACAUAUUUUUUUGGAUAGAUUUGGUGAGUUUUAAUUUCGUCUAAAUUGGAUGAAAUUGUAAUUUUUUCGGAUAUAAUUAGUGUGCAGCUUUUGAUGUUUUUUUUUUUUACAGAUUUCAUUUGUAGGUUUUGAGAUCUUUUAAUGUGCAGCUAUUUUGGAUAUAUACUGGUCAUUUCAGAUAUGCAGAUAUUAUAAAUCUAUUUUGGACAAUUUUAAAGAAAUUAGAUAGGUUUUUUUGCAUAUAUUUUGUAAUGUAAUGGAAAAAAUUUCAUUUGCAAUGUAAUGGACUUGAUCAUGUUAUCAUUCAAAUGAUCAAGCUUUUAUAUGAAUGAAUAUUCAGUUUUUUUCACAUCCUAUGUAUGCGUUUACAUUUCUUGUUGGCUAUUUUUUUUAUAACAUUUUUAUAUGUGAAUAGGGAUAAAGUACUUUGUAACAAAAUAAUACAUUGUCACUUAAUUAACUAAAAGUUCACAACACUAUAAUCUAUAUACAUUUAAAUAUUCAAACACUAUAAUCCUUAUAUUUUUAAAUUUUCAAACACUUUAAUCCUCACAUAUUCAAUUUUUCAAACACUUACGUCCUCAUAAAAUUAAAUAUUCAAACAUUUUAGUCUAUCGUACUACUAUAAAUUCAAAAUAUAUAUUCACAGCAAAAAAAGUAGUUUCUAUUAUCUAAAUUUCUGGUAUAUAUUAUUUCAAAUCACUUUCAUUGUUACUCUAACUAUAAUAAAAAUCAAAACAAUAUAAAUUAUUCUCAAUUGGCACAUAAUUCCCCCAAUAUUUACAAUCUCAUCUCUAGUAGCUUUUUGUUCUUCCUUCAUUUUCUUCAGAUCAUUUUUCAUCUUUGCAAUAUCUUCUAUUACCUUCUCUAGCAUUUCUUUUAUAGGUGUUCUUUUUUCGAUUUUCCAUCCCUCAUCCACGUUAAUGCUGCCACUUGAUGGAGUUGAACUUUGAUUCACAGGUUCACACCACCCAUGAAAACUUCCACACACAUUAUCUCUGCAAAAAUAAUAUAGCUUAUUAGGGUUUUCGGCUGACUCAGAAAUUCUUAUCCCAGCCCUUUUACCACAUCUGCGGUUCACAUUUUUUAAUCUUCUAUUCCAGUACCUGGCAGACCCACUUAAUACAGACAUUAUUCUUCUCCAGUGAUGAUUCACAACAAUCGCCGAAAGGAAAGAGAAGAUGUGAGGGAGAAGAAAGAUGAUAAUGAGAAAAAAAAAAAAAAAAGGAGAAUGAACAAUGGCUGAAAUGAAAUAGAGAAGAUAUGAGGGAAAAGAAAUAUAUGAGAGAGUAGAAAGAUAUGAGUGAAAAUAAAGAUGAAAAAGAGGAAAAAAUGGAGCAUCAACAUUGGUCGAAAAGAAGAGAGAAUAUAUGAGGGAGAAGAAGGAUGGGGAAUUUUACGUUGAGAGGGGUUUUAUCAAGUUCAUUAAAGAUAUUUUUGGUAAAAAAUUUUAUCUGUAACCUUAGACUCUUUGACCAAACGGUCAUUUUAGACGGAAAGACUACGAAUUCGGACAGAAGAAAAAGUGAGAGACUUAAAUGUUGGGUUGUUAAAAUAGAGUAACAGAAAUAUUAAUUACGUUAAAUUUCAAGGACUAAAAAAUAAUUUUUCCUACUUUUUAUUAAAUGGAGUGAGGUUUGAAAAUUACUUAUCAAGUAGGUUUUUUAUUUGCCACUUUGGGAAGAUAUUAAAAAAAAAAAAAAAAAAAGGAAAACAGUCUCUUCCGCAAGUAAAGCCUUACUUUUUUUUAAAAAAAAAUGCUUAAUGGAAUUAUGCUGAAAUUAUUGUUUUCAACAGUAUCAUAGGCAUACAUCACAGCUUUGUGGCUGCUUUAUUUCUUACAGGUCUCUUCUUCGUUCGAAGAGUUUUUUUCCCAUUGUUGCUGGCUACCCAUAUUUUCUCCUACUAAAAACUAUCCUAUACUUCGCCGCACACACAUAUAUAUAACAUAUUCAUUUCUGGAAAGUUUUUUAAUGACAAAGAUACACGAAAAUCAAACAUGAGCCUUAAGCUCUGUUUGGGACCACAAUUUCAUUAUGCAUCGAGAAUUUUCAAUUUUAGUUUUAACAGAGUAUUCUGGGUUAAAGAAUUGAUCAAGCGACAUGAAAAACAUAAAAUGAGCAUAAUCAACACAACGUGAACAUGAGAAUAUAAGAAAAAUGUACUUUAUAGAGGGAAGAGGGAGAAAAAAAAAGAAGAGUAAAAUACCGAUACAUGAAAGGAAAACACUGGCCUCACCUAACAUUAAUAGAUCUCCACAUCCCAACAUUUGUACAUUAGCGUUUAGACUACCUCAACAUUUGAUCUUUUUCUCUUUUUACACCCUUAAGAACUUAGUAUAGUCAUUUAUCUCCUCUUGUAGGGGCAUCAGGCGUACUCAACAUCUGAUCCUCAGCUUCCUCAACUCUAUGUAUAAGCCUUACAACUACACAAUGUACAGUUUCCGGUACAAGCAACAACGUUUAUUUUCAAUCUGCCCAUACCUGUCUAAAAAGAUGGGUAGAGGCAUAGCUUUUGAAAUGGGAAGGACGAAAGAGACGAGGCUCACACUAGCCUCAGUUAGCUGUACAAACUCUCUUUCCUAUGCCACCUAAGCAGGGUGCAGAGACUGAGCGGCGAUUCUCCUUUCUGCAAACAAUCAUUAAUUUGACCAUUACCAAACUUUCCCUUCCAGUAGGAUCACUAUCUGAUCUUGACUGCAUACAAUUAAGUUUUGCACAAUCAUUGACAAGGAAAGAAAGCAUACCCCCAGCAGCAACAAGUUUCUCCACGCGAGCAACGAUAUGCUUUCCAUACGUAUACUUCUUCAAUGCAUUUAAAUGAAUUUUUAUUCGAGUAAGAAUCAACUCGCGUUGUUGGUCAUCACAAGUCUCGAGCACUUUUUGUACGACAUAGUUUGCAAAUUGAUCUUUCAUCAUUGCCUGGACACAAACAGAAAACGAUAAGGAAAAAGGAGAAAAGAAAUAUCACAUGUUUGCAGCAGAAUGGUAAAAAUUCUGAAUUUCUUUUUUUCUUGAAACGGACAAUUUUUUAAGGUUGCUAGUAUCCCAUUGUAGCUUGAAAUAGAACUUCAUGAGAGUUACAAACCUGAAGGGGCUCAUUUUCAUCAGUGGUUCCAAGCAUCUCAUUCACCAGUAACUCUCGCUCACUGGGACCACCAAAAGUUAAACACUUCUCCACAACAUUGGACGCAAACUUCUGCUGGCUCAUCUGAACUAUCUUCCCAGCUAACUCCUUAAUAAUAGCGGAUCUUUCAUGGGGUUUUCCGUGCUCCAGCACAUGCUGUUAAAGUAACAAAAACCAGAGAAUAACCAAAGCAAUAUAUGCACACACUUAAAUAAUACUGAUAAUUCUUAUAAAACAAGACUAGGAAUCCAAAAGCCAAAGGGAAUGAGUACUGCAUAGUAUAAAUGAGUGCAUGAUUAUAUUCAAUGCUAUUAUAAGCAUCAUGCUUGCUUAUAUAAUCCCUUAUCAACUCAGAUGCGAACAUCAUGGUUCAAACUAACAUGCUUUCUAGAUAAGAACAAGAUAACUCGUGACUUUGUACUCUAAUGAUUACUUAUAUUCAGUAAGUCCAGAUGAACUUUAGAAGAACCCAAAAACACCAUGAUUCAAACUCACACUCUUUGCAGAAAAGAACAUGAUAACAUGUCGGUUUGUACUCAAAUGACUACUUGGAUUCAGCAUGUCCAGAUGAACUUUACAAGAACCCCUCCGAAAGGGAAUAACAUAAAAGUUCUUAUUACUGUUCUGACACAAGAAUGACUUGUUACAAUUGGAGGAUCUUAGACAGGAACAAAAAAGAGCAAAACAGUCCAGUCUUGAAUUCCAAACAGUUUUUGGAAAAGAGAGAGAGAGCGAGAGCAAAAGGACGAGGAGAAGAAGAUGAUAUUCCAACUAUGACUAUAGCAAAUCAUCUCAAUAAAUACAGCGAUAAUUCUUUUUGCAAACAAUAAUGGAUGUCAGUGCCAGCACCUCCUACACACUCCUAAGUAACAUGAAAAUCAUAAUCACAACUCAGUUGCAAAUGGAAGUGCCAUAUGCAGCAAGCAUUUUCAGGGAAGAAUACCAACCUGAAUGACAUAGUUGCCAUAUUGAUCUUGUGCCAAUAUACUAACAGCUCCUAAAAUCUCAUCCAUGACUUUACUUUGUGUGUUUGGGUCCUUACAGUGCUCUAAUAUCCUCUGUUAAUAAGCAAAAAUUUUUCUAUUUAUUCCUCAAAAAAGAUCCAAAGUCUCAAAAUAGACAAUAAACAAAUUUCUGAAACCUGUAUCACACGACACCCAUAUGGAUGGGUGGAGAGAGUCACAACUUGAUCAAAGAAUGUUGAGACAAUAAAUUGGAUAUUUUCUUCAGGAACACACUCGAUACACUUUUGGAUUACAUGGUUCCCAUUCUGAUCACGUACACAACGCAUUACAUGACCAUCAAGCUCUUCUACCAUUUUAAUCUUCUGGUCUAGGUCAACAACCUCAAUUGCCUGAACAAUUUCAAUAGCCAAAGUUACAAUCAAAUCCCCUGCAAGACUACAUAUAUACAUCCUAAAUUACCCAUUUUAAGUCGCAGCAUGAUAAUCAAGCAAAAGAUGAGCACAUAGAAUUGCUAUUCAUCUCAAAAUAGAAAACAUUAUUACAACCAGGCUGGGUUCCUGGGACACUUUCUGUGCACUGAGUGUCCACUGUGCACCACCCUGGCAAUACAGUUUGGUUUG